UACGUAGGGUGCAAGCGUUGUCCGGAAUUAUUGGGCGUAAAGAGCUCGUAGGUGGCCUGUCGCGUCGGCUGUGAAAACUCGGGGCUCAACUCCGAGCUUGCAGUCGAUACGGGCAGGCUAGAGUUCGGCAGGGGAGACUGGAAUUCCUGGUGUAGCGGUGAAAUGCGCAGAUAUCAGGAAGAACACCGGUGGCGAAGGCGGGUCUCUGGGCCGAUACUGACGCUGAGGAGCGAAAGCGUGGGGAGCGAACAGG
rnacentral:rRNA from 1 species